rnacentral:rRNA from 1 species
CUACGGAGGGGGUUAGCGUUGUUCGGAAUUACUGGGCGUAAAGCGCACGUAGGCGGACUGGAAAGUUGGGGGUGAAAUCCCGGGGCUCAACCCCGGAACUGCCUCCAAAACUUCCAAUCUAGAGAUCGAGAGAGGUGAGUGGAAUUCCAAGUGUAGAGGUGAAAUUCGUAGAUAUUUGGAGGAACACCAGUGGCGAAGGCGGCUCACUGGCUCGAUACUGACGCUGAGGUGCGAAAGCGUGGGGAGCAAACAGGAUUAGAUACCCCAGUAGUCC